UCAGAAGGUCUUAAAGGUUUAGGAUCUUACUGCAUUAGUGUUUUCUAGUGCUAAAAGGUUUAACCAUUUUGUUCUGUUUUCACUUCUUUAAACAGAAUAAUUGUUUCAGUUUCCAUGAGACGCCCUUCUUAUUUCUCAUUGGUUCCCUUUUCUCUUGCUUUCCUUUCCUCUAAAGCUGAUUCCAUCAUCCAGGGGCAUCUAAUUUAAUAGGGACGCUAGGUCCUGGGCAAGCCUAAAUGUUAGAUUGUGUGUGUGUAUACUCUGACUUGACAUUCACACACACACACACAAGCGGACAUUAGGAGCUACUUUACAGCAAGUCAAAGUGUAAAUCAUUUAAAAUAUUUUCUUAAUUUCUAAUGUGUAUACUCAACAAUAAUGAUAAUAAUAAUACUGAACUGAGCCAUAAAUGUUUUUCCUCAAUGUUCAUGUGACAUGCAUCAAUGUGUUAUUUUGUCAGGUCAGGUGAUAGAAGCAGUCCUGCCAGGUAGUGUCUCAGACAGAGUAAGAGUGAGGCAGGUGGAGAGGCGGGGUCACAGGUGGAUGCAAUGAGCUACAGAUGUAGAGGCAGGCUUGGUGUUGAAAGUGAAAGUUUGGGAGGAGCCAUAUAGAGGACCAGAGCUCUGGAGGAGGACAAGUCAUUGCUGAGUACUCUCUCAAAGUAGCAGCAACACUCACAAACCGAAAUAUAUGAUGUUGUUCUAGGAAAGAGGUCAUGGCUGGAACAUGUCUUAUUCACUGUGUCCUGAUUCAAGUCCUGCUUAUCACAGUCUAUGCUCAAUUACCAACAAACUGUACAAAUCUAACUACCACUGAGGGAGAACCAGUACAUCUAACCUGCAAUGUUACAUGUAAAAAAUGUGAAUUAGACAGAUAUACUUGGAAGCAUGGAGAAACUAAAAUCAACUGCAGUGAUGAAUCGAAGCGUGAGAAUAGUGGCUCUUUAUUCCAUUGCAGAAUUCCAAGUGCAUCAGCGAAUCACAAUGGAACAUUUACAUUUUGGGUACAAAUGAAACAAGGAAUUGGUGAAACAAAAUUCAGCGUGACCAUAGUGCCGCGUGCUGCUAAUCCCACCACACCAGGUACUGUUUCUACAACCAGUUCUCAUGGUCAUAAAGAGAAACUUAAGACUUCAUCUAAGGGUCGUUCACCUGAAGUUGCCUUGGCUGUAUUGCUCAUGAUUUGUCUUGCCUUAGGCCUCAUGGUUGCAGUUUUGUUUAUAAGAAAUAACAACUGUAAUAUGUCAGCAAUAUUCACUCACAAAAUGAUGACAGAAACUGAAAUAAUAUAAUCCCAAUACAUACAGUAGUUGUGACACUGUGCCAAGCUCAGAAAGAUAAGCUUUCUUUUUUAUGUCAGUCUCUGUCAUGGCAGAGGGACAGGAUUAAGGAAUUAAGGAAUUAAGGAAAAAGGGGGAAGUUGUACAGUUAAGGGGAAAAUAUAAUCCCAUAUAUGUAGCAGAUUGAUUUUCUUUCUUUCUUUUUCUAACGCUUCAUUUCUAGUUUCAGUGAAAUAUUUAUCUCUUACUUAUCACUGUGUGAUGCUUUUCAAUUGCUAAUGGACUGGUGUGAACUGACUCCUUUUCUGAUUUUGAGAUCUGUGGUGAUUUUUACCCGUAGCUUUUUUUUUACAAUUAUUUACCUUCUCAGGACGAAAAAGGUAACAUACUGUACAAACAUUUCCCACUGCUGUAAUUUACUCGAGAACAUGUUGUUUAUACCGUUACUUAUAUAAAUACAAAUAUAUAGGAUUAUAAUUAAUGGUAUAUAAUCUUUAAGAACAACUGUUGUACCUUUGACAACAAAAAUACUUGUACAGUGCUUUUUCACAGAACUCACUGUAAUCUGUGAUUUAAUUUUUUUUAAUACUAAUACUAAUACUACUAAUAAUAAUACAUGGCGGAGCAGAACACUGAAUAGAUUUUGGUGUUGCAGUUUUGUGUACUUUUGUAUAUUGUGUAUUCUAUUGUAUUGCGAGUUCUGUUGUAUUGUGUGCUUUUUCACUGUAAAUGUGAAUAUAUUAAUAAAUGUACAGAAUUCACACA